ensembl:lncRNA
AAAGGGACUAAGGGCAGGAUAUAUACUUUCGAAACCUGUAUAUGUACAAUGUGUUUCUACAUUGUGUUUUUCCAUUUAGUACGCAUCCCUUGCUUGCAUGUGGAGGUCCUGAUGUAUGAAAAUCUCUUCCCCAUUUCUUGGUGCCUCAGUGGGCAAUAGUUUUGGUCUAGAUUACUAUUUUUACCUCUGUCAUGCCCUCCGCUGCGAGGAUAGAAAUAUGUACUUUUUAAAAUGUAUAUAAGGGGUUUUUGUUCCUCUUUCCUGUUACUUCGUUUUGUACCUAAACCUCUCCAUGGAUACUUAGGCACAUGAUGAAAAUUAAGGUUCAUUCUAUGAAAAAAAUCUCUCCUCCCCUUCCCUUCUUGCCUGUCUGGGCAAUGACUAGCAUAGUUGUUUUGACUGGGGUCAGGGUUGGGGGGGGUGGAAACAAGGUGGCAGGGGAUUUCUGGGCUGCAUUGUUUUCACAUAUAUAAAUGUCUGUGGGUUUUUUGUUCUCUCGCUUCAAACCUAGUGUUUUCUUUCGACUUGUAGAGGCCCAGAUCCAGAGGUCUUUGUUUUUCCCCUUCCCCUAUCACCUGGGUGCCUGGGCGUUAGUGUAAGAGUACUUUAGGAUUUGGCUUUGUUUUUGAGGGUUUUAAUGGAGCAUGAGCUUGUUUUUGCCUCUUUUAUGAACCUAAUCUUCUGCAUGACUAUUUAGGAACUUAAUGAAAGUUGAGACUGAUUCUGUGAAAAAUCUCCCCUCCCCUGCCCCCUUCCCUCAUUGCAUAAUGGGCAAUGGAAGAAGAGAUGGUGGGGAGCAUGGGGGGGGUGUGUGUGUAUACUUUUAAAAUAUAUAUUAUGUUUGCUAUGCCUUAUAUUCUCUCAUUUAGUACCCAGUCCUUUGCUAGGCUCUGUAGGUACAUAGUGAAACGUGGAGGUCCAAAUGUAUGAUAGAUCUCCUCUGCUCCCUUCCCUCACUGCCUGUGUGGGCAAGAGUUUAAUAAUUGGAUUUUUUUUUCCCCUCUGAGGGAGGGAUUACUGGGUGGGGUAGUGGUUAAUGGGAAAGAACAGAGUAUGACUUUUAAGAAAUGUAUACAGAGGUUUUCAUGUUACCGAUCUUUUAAAUCUAGUUCUUUGGGUGGAUGUCAAGGUACCAAAUGCAGAUUGAGGCUGAGCGUGUGACCACUUCUCCUUCUCCCCUUCUUGUCUCUGUAGGCAACAGCUUGUAGAAGAGUUGUAUGUUGUGUGCUUACUUGUCGUAGAUGUAUGUUUUUGGCAGGGGCACAGUCUUAAUACAUAGGAAUGUUUUCAUUUCUUAUUUUGUAUUUAGUCCCUUCACUGGCUAUGUAGGGACCUAGUGAAAAUUUUCAUAGAUUAGCAGAUUACUUCUUCCUUUCACGUCUAUUAUUUCCUCCUUUAGCUGGAUCUAAUAUGUUGUUUUGUGGUUAUUUUGUUCUCUAUGAUAUAUGCCUUUAUGUAUACAUAUGUAAUUUGCUUUUCUUCCCUCAUUAUUUUCCUUGAAAUGCAUUCAAGCCCUGGAUCAGUAUCUAACAGAAAAGUCCCACCAAUCCUGGCCAUCUGAUCUAAGGUGCAACACUGUGGUGGUGUAACUAAUGCCAGCAGGCAUGUGGCAGACAAGAUGGGAGAGGACACUUGGAUAUGGUUGAGUUGUGAAAGCUAAUUAGAUCCAGCUUUUCUUAGGUUGACCCAGACUGAAUGAAAAUGGUGAGACGGGACCUAUACUUUGGGAGUUCCAGGAAGUCCAGAUGGUACUUAAAGUAUGUUUAAAUUUUUUGCUGAUUAAUGACUAGUUUAUAUUACUGAAAGAUUCAUCAGCAAAUGUGCUGCCGAGAACUCAUUUGCAGACCCUUGAGAGUAGUUUCUUUCUGAGGCCUGGAAUUCUGACCCAUUUACAGAAGUCCGUUACAGUUCCAUCAGUAGCAUAUUCUUUUGUACUCGGUAGAACUUAUCUUGGCUUUUGGAAGGAAUCUUUUUGAGUUAUUGCCAAUAUUCUAAUAAAUGACAACACGGGCCCCAAAACUAAUCCGAAAAGAAUUUGGGGGGCAAGCCCUUCUGUCUUCUAACACCUUACACAUGGUAGGGCGAGUUGGCCCUUUCCUACCCAGAGCUGUUCUGUGUGGCUGCAUCUCUGUCCUCAAUUUUCCAUUAGCUGAACCAUUCCUGUUCAUUUUUCCUUUGUGUCUCCAGUGCUUGCAUUGUUAGACAUUAUCUUCAAGUGCACUGAGAAACGUUAAGCCCACGUUGCCUCAUUAGCUGUAUGUUUUUGCUAUAUGUUUUCAUACAUCCAGCCCUGUGUGUUUGCUUUCAGCAUUCUUGAAUCAUACUUCACAUUGGCUCUUCAUCCAUCACCUGGUAAAUGUUAUGACUCCACAUUUGUCUUUAUCAAGGAAAACGCAUGUGUAAAAUCCAUCCAUGCUGUUCUCCCUCUGAAAUUCUCUGAGCACUGUUCGUUCUGCAGUUUAUAAUGAAUAUAAUGCUGAAGAUUUGCCAUAUUAUUUUUAGAAAGUGAUAGGACUCCUAGAAAAUUUGCAAUGAGAUGUUAUUUACCAUAUCAAACUCUCAGGUUCUAGUGUUGAAAAUAUUUGCUUAUAUUUUACUGUUACUUAAACCUGCUGCUGUAGGAAAAAAAAAUAAAAGUUUAUUCAUGACAUUUAACUUUGAUCAUAAAUAAAAGGGGGCACCUUUUUGGAGUUAGUCAUGGUAGUCUUUAGCAACAGUUUUUAAUUUGAAAUACUUCAAAGGAAGUAAAGGUCAGGGCUUAGCUGAAUGAAAUGCUCCAGAACUUGAACUGCAUAAAGCAUCAGUACAGUAAUACACUCAUGUGGAUAAAAGGAGAAUUACAGCAUAAUGGGAGCAUUUUCAUUAAUAAAUAAACUCACAUUGAGACAAAACCUAAGCUAUCAUGAUUAAAGCCAAUUGUUCCAUGUUGCUGUGAAGAAUAGUCUAUCACUUCGAAAAUUACUUCAAAACUUCUAUCACACUUUUGUAUUUAAACACUUAUAGGGAUCUCCAAUUUCUUCAAUCUGAGCUUGUGUUAGAAUUCUAAAUUUGUAUCAUAAUCUUGUCUUUUGUGGAAGAUUUUGAAAAUAGUAUGUAUAUAUAAUAUAUAUGCAAACUGUGUUUUGUCACUUGUAAAGGGAAAAGGCUUAUAUUUCUUUAUACUUCUGAUAACUUGUUUUGCAUAUGACCAGCACUGACUGAAAGGCAUGUGUACCUGCAAACACUGUUGCUUUUUUUUGUGAAAUGAAAAUAAAAGUAUUUAAAUAUAAA